rnacentral:misc_RNA from 1 species
UCGAAUACCAGACGGGUUGCCGUCGCGGUGCAUCACCGCUUUCUCCCUUGCUUAUCCGUACCUUUGUUUCCUCGGCGGGCAUGCCCGUCGCUGGACCGUUUGUUCAACGCUCUUGUUGUUUGCAGUGUUGUCUGAGCAUUACGCACCAAUUGUCA